rnacentral:rRNA from 1 species
CCUACGGGGGGCAGCAGUGGGGAAUAUUGGACAAUGGGGGGAACCCUGAUCCAGCCAUGCCGCGUGUGUGAAGAAGGCCCUCGGGUCGUAAAGCACUUUCAGUGAGGAAGAACGCCUGGUGGUUAAUACCCAUCAGGAAAGACAUCACUCACAGAAGAAGCACCGGCUAACUCCGUGCCAGCAGCCGCGGUAAUACGGAGGGUGCGAGCGUUAAUCGGAAUUACUGGGCGUAAAGCGCGCGUAGGUGGCUUGAUAAGCCGGUUGUGAAAGCCCCGGGCUCAACCUGGGAACGGCAUCCGGAACUGUCAAGCUAGAGUGCAGGAGAGGAAGGUAGAAUUCCCGGUGUAGCGGUGAAAUGCGUAGAGAUCGGGAGGAAUACCAGUGGCGAAGGCGGCCUUCUGGACUGACACUGACACUGAGGUGCGAAAGCGUGGGUAGCAAACAGGAUUAGAUACCCCUGUAGUC